UCUUCCCUACCCCUCCCACCUUCCCUUCUCCUUCCUCUCCCCUCUCUGGAUCAGUCUUCUCUCUCCCCGUCCUGGGAGGCCCCUCCCAGCCUCGCGUCCUCACCCCGCGGGCUCCCAGAGCCGCCCUCCCGCCCUUGGGACUCUCAGGUUCCCAAGUUCUGAGCUGACGGCCGAGUCUCCUAGCCAGGGAUCCGGGGGCAGGGCUGUCAGGCCGGAGCCCCCGAGCUGGAAGAACCUAUGUGACACCAAUUUUCUCUCUCUCUUUCCUGUCCGCCCCGGACUCUGGACGCUGCCUGGAGGGAUCAAGUCGGCCCCCCGUGAGGGGAACGAGGAACGGGCUCAGAGGCUGGAAGCGAGCUGCCUAAAGACACAGCAGGCGGCGUGGGAGGACUUCGCCCACCGCCGACUCCACCGAUGAGGAAACAGGCGCCAGGUGGGCCUGAAGACCAGCAUCCGCCAGGACGGAGACCUCAAGGGAGCCCCGACGGCGUUUCCAGAGAACCGACGACGCCCCCCGCAGAGCCCUUCUCUCCGCCAAGACGGCCCACGUGGGUCGGCGAGAGGCCCCAGGAUCGGUCACCGGAGAGGCUCUCUCGGACUGCGGUCGUCCAUCGCCACCUACCGGCGGAAGACAAAACUGCAACUCAGCUCUAACAGACACUGGGACCGGCGGCCCCAGAGGACACUGCCUGGGGGUGAGGGGGGGCCUGGAGCGGGCGGAGAGAGGAUUUGCCAAAUUCUGUAAAAAUCAAAAACUCUUCUACGCCUAACCAAUGUAUAGACAUCAUACUCAGCAAGCUUCUUGGUAUGCCAGCUUAGAGCUCCAACUGCAUAUGUUUCCAAAUCACGGGUGGUGGGUUCUCUCCUGCAUUGCCAUGGAAACGCAGGUCAGUGCUUUGGGAAACGCAGGAGAGUGGGAUUCAGUUUAUACAAUGUGCUGGGGAGCCUAUUUCUAGGAAUUGGAAUCAAAUUGAGUUUGAUUCCUCUACCAUGAACUAUCUGAAUGCAAGGUGGCUGCAAGGAAAAGUGAAUGGCUGACAGCCAGCCAAACAUUAGUCCCUGAUCCUCACCUGGAGUCUCUCUGGCUAGAUAAACCUCUAGAGUUGUUUCCAGAUGCUACUGCUUCAAUGCACAACUUGGGGUGGCAAACAUUCUUUAAAAACACUAAAAUCAACCUUAUAUUAAUAUAUUUUAAAAGAAUACUUGCCAAACAA